UACGUAGGGUGCAAGCGUUAAUCGGAAUUACUGGGCGUAAAGCGUGCGCAGGCGGUUUUGUAAGUCUGUCGUGAAAUCCCCGGGCUUAACCUGGGAACUGCAUUGGUGACUGGCAGGCUUUGAGUGUGGCAGAGGGAGGUAGAAUUCCACGUGUAGCAGUGAAAUGCGUAGAGAUGUGGAGGAAUACCGAUGGCGAAGGCAGCCUCCUGGGCCAACACUGACGCUCAUGCACGAAAGCGUGGGGAGCAAACAGGAUUAGACUA
rnacentral:rRNA from 1 species